rnacentral:lncRNA from 1 species
CCUCUAUUAUUAUCUUUUGCAAGUAUAUAUAUUUUCAUAUUUUUAUCCUACUAAAGUUCUUUUUUAUUAUUACUUUUUUAUUUUCAUGAUUUAUUGUCAAUUGUUUGUCUUCUAGAUUUAUAUGGUUUUACUUGUUCUAGCCAUUUUAUUCCUAAAGUAAUAUUUUCAUCUCCUUGAUAUAUUUUAAAUUUUAUUACUAUUGGUACUCCUCCAAUGAUUAUUUCCUUUUUCGUAGUUUCUUCGGUAUACAUUAAUGCUUUUGGUAGUUCGGGGCAUGAUUGUUCAAUAGUUAUUAUUUCAUCUUCCGUCACUAAUUCUCUUGUAAUAUAGUUUUCUUCUUGUCCUGUAUUUAUUAAUAUUAAAUAUUUUCGUUGUUCC